CAGCACAGCUGACAGGGUCACUAAG
rnacentral:piRNA from 1 species